UGGGGAAUUUUGGACAAUGGGGGAAACCCUGAUCCAGCCAUCCCGCGUGUGCGAUGAAGGCCUUCGGGUUGUAAAGCACUUUUGGCAGGAAAGAAACGUCAUGGGCUAAUACCCAGUGAAACUGACGGUACCUGCAGAAUAAGCACCGGCUAACUACGUGCCAGCAGCCGCGGUAAUACGUAGGGUGCAAGCGUUAAUCGGAAUUACUGGGCGUAAAGCGUGCGCAGGCGGUUCGGAAAGAAAGAUGUGAAAUCCCAGAGCUCAACUUUGGAACUGCAUUUUUAACUACCGGGCUAGAGUGUGUCAGAGGGAGGUGGAAUUCCGCGUGUAGCAGUGAAAUGCGUAGAUAUGCGGAGGAACACCGAUGGCGAAGGCAGCCUCCUGGGAUAACACUGACGCUCAUGCACGAAAGCGUGGGGAGCAAACAGG
rnacentral:rRNA from 1 species